CCUACGGGUGGCAGCAGUGGGGGAUAUUGCACAAUGGGGGAAACCCUGAUGCAGCGACGCCGCGUGUGGGAAGACGGUCCUCUGGAUUGUAAACCACUGUCCCCAGGGACGAAGAUGACGGUACCUGGGGAGGAAGCUCCGGCUAACUACGUGCCAGCAGCCGCGGUAAUACGUAGGGAGCGAGCGUUGUCCGGAUUUACUGGGUGUAAAGGGAGCGUAGACGGUUAUGUAAGUCUGGAGUGAAAGCCCGGGGCCCAACCCCGGGACUGCUUUGGAAACUGUGUAACUGGAGUACAGGAGGGGCAGGCGGAAUGCGUGGUGUAGCGGUGAAAUGCGUAGAUAUCAGGAGGAACACCGGCGGCGAAGGCGGCCUGCUGGACUGAAACUGACGUUGAGGCUCGAAAGCGUGGGGAGCAAACAGGAUUAGAUACCCUUGUAGUC
rnacentral:rRNA from 1 species